UACGUAGGGCGCGAGCGUUGUCCGGAUUUAUUGGGCGUAAAGAGCGUGUAGGCGGCCAGGUAGGUCUGCUGUGAAAACUCGAGGCUUAACCUCGAGCUGUCGGCGGAAACCAUCUGGCUAGAGUCCGGAAGAGGAGAAUGGAAUUCCCGGUGUAGCGGUGAAAUGCGCAGAUAUCGGGAAGAACACCCGUGGCGAAGGCGGUUCUCUGGGACGGUACUGACGCUGAGACGCGAAAGCGUGGGGAGCGAACAGG
rnacentral:rRNA from 1 species